ensembl:misc_RNA Gm23171 predicted gene, 23171
GGAUAUGGGGAUAAUCUGACUGGGUCAACUUGUGUCCCCUUCCUCCCCCCACUGCUCUAUGUGCAGUCCUUCCAAAGCUGUACAUUUAGUCAAAGAGGACAACCUUCCCCAGAGUAGGACCAGUCUUCUCUCAAGGCUAUAUGAGUAGCUGAGUUUCCCCUGUCAGAACUUGUAAACAAGCCCUCAACAGCAAUUCCAUUAGCUAGAGAGAUGGCUCGGGGAUUAGGAGCAAUGCCAUAUGGGUGCUAGGAAUUGAACUGAUGU